CCUGAAACACUAGAAUCUAUUAUCUCGGUAUAAAUUUCAACAUUCAGCCCAUAUGAUUAUGAAAAAUAAACCUCAAUAUUUUAUUAUUUCUCGGCCCAAGUUUAUCUCCUACAGCAUUCCAUAGUUCGGGCCCAAUUUACAAUACAUCACAUUCUAAUAUGGGCUUACAGGAUUAAUUUGUCUAUGUUAAUACACGACUAAAUAUAUGUAAAUCCUACAACUGCGGAGUCACUA
rnacentral:lncRNA from 1 species